GGUCAGGAUGAACGCUAGCGGCAGGCUAACACAUGCAAGUCGAGGGGCAUCGGGAGUAGCAAUACUGCCGGCGACCGGCGCAAGGGUGCGUAACGCGUGAGCAACAUGCCCGUAUCAGGGGGAUAAUCCAUGGAAACGUGGUCUAAUACCCCAUAGUAGUUAUGUAAGGCAUCUUAUAUAAUUUAAAGCUUUGGUGGAUACGGAUUGGCUCGCGUGACAUUAGCUAGAUGGUAAGGUAACGGCUUACCAUGGCUACGAUGUCUAGGGGUUCUGAGAGGAAGGUCCCCCACACUGGAACUGAGACACGGUCCAGACUCCUACGAGAGGCAGCAGUGAGGAAUAUUGGACAAUGGAUGGAAAUCUGAUCCAGCCAUGCCGCGUGCAGGAAGGAACCGGCCCUAUGGGUUGUAAACUGCUUUUGUAUGGGAGCAAUAAGGGCUACGCGUAGUCCGAUGAGAGUACCAUACGAAUAAGCACCGGCUAACUCCGUGCCAGCAGCUGC
rnacentral:rRNA from 1 species